rnacentral:pre_miRNA from 1 species
GUGCAUAAUGUUUGAAAUUUUGCACACAUUUACAAUAAUUGUAAAUGUGUUGAAAAUCGUUUGCACAA